rnacentral:lncRNA from 1 species
CUUCGCCAAUCGAUGAUAUCCGUAAUGGAUUGUCUUCUUAUUCUCGCAGUCGGGGCAUCUCUGCCGGUUGAGGGCACCGGCCUUCCUCCGGUGGAGCUCUGCCUUGUUCUGACACCAACAACAAGCACUGAUUACCUGCGUUGCGUUUGCGUGACGCAUCCACAGAUCCGACAGAGUUUGGAUUCCGCACAAGGGUUCUUCAACCCUUAAAUAGCCGCGUAUUCAAACUAGCCGAUCAUACGCUCCUUGCCUUCGUCACAUCCGUUCCAUCCAAGCAGUGUGGAAGAGGAAGUGAGAUUUGGCAGAUUACUGGUUCCGGUUCAAUCUUCUGAACCAACCGCGAAACCUUCGCCAAUCGAUGAUAUCCGUAAUGGAUUGUCUUCUUAUUCUCGCAGUCGGGGCAUCUCUGCCGGUUGAGGGCACCGGCCUUCCUCCGGUGGAGCUCUGCCUUGUUCUGACACCAACAACAAGCACUGAUUACCUGCGUUGCGUUUGCGUGACGCAUCCACAGAUCCGACAGGGUUUGGAUUCCGCACAAGGGUUCUUCAACCCUUAAAUAGCCGCGUAUUCAAACUAGCCGAUCAUACGCUCCUUGCCUUCGUCACAUCCGUUCCAUCCAAGCAGUGUGGAAGAGGAAGUGAGAUUUGGCAGAUUACUGGUUCCGGUUCAAUCUUCUGAACCAACCGCGAAACCUUCGCCAAUCGAUGAUAUCCGUAAUGGAUUGUCUUCUUAUUCUCGCAGUCGGGGCAUCUCUGCCGGUUGAGGGCACCGGCCUUCCUCCGGUGGAGCUCUGCCUUGUUCUGACACCAACAACAAGCACUGAUUACCUGCGUUGCGUUUGCGUGACGCAUCCACAGAUCCGACAGAGUUUGGAUUCCGCACAAGGGUUCUUCAACCCUUAAAUAGCCGCGUAUUCAAACUAGCCGAUCAUACGCUCCUUGCCUUCGUCACAUCCGUUCCAUCCAAGCAGUGUAGAAGAGGAAGUGAGAUUUGGCAGAUUACUGGUUCCGGUUCAAUCUUCUGAACCAACCGCGAAACCUUCGCCAAUCGAUGAUAUCCGUAAUGGAUUGUCUUCUUAUUCUCGCAGUCGGGGCAUCUCUGCCGGUUGAGGGCACCGGCCUUCCUCCGGUGGAGCUCUGCCUUGUUCUGACACCAACAACAAGCACUGAUUACCUGCGUUGCGUUUGCGUGACGCAUCCACAGAUCCGAUAGAGUUUGGAUUCCGCACAAGGGUUCUUCAACCCUUAAAUAGCCGCGUAUUCAAACUAGCCGAUCAUACGCUCCUUGCCUUCGUCACAUCCGUUCCAUCCAAGCAGUGUGGAAGAGGAAGUGAGAUUUGGCAGAUUACUGGUUCCGGUUCAAUCUUCUGAACCAACCGCGAAACCUUCGCCAAUCGAUGAUAUCCGUAAUGGAUUGUCUUCUUAUUCUCGCAGUCGGGC